rnacentral:ncRNA from 1 species
GCGGUGUCGCCGUGCGGAAUUGAAGAGGGAAUCAGGUGAGAAUCCUGAGCAGACCCGCUGCUGUGAACUCCGUGAACGAUGGUUGCAAUACUUUUGCCACUGUUUUUUCGUCAAGAAAAAUGGGAAGGCGCAACACAUCGGGAGUGAGCCAGAAGACCUGCCAAGAGCCAU